AUUGAACGCUGGCGGCAUGCCUUACACAUGCAAGUCGAACGGCAGCACGGGUGCUUGCACCUGGUGGCGAGUGGCGAACGGGUGAGUAAUACAUCGGAACAUGUCCUGUAGUGGGGGAUAGCCCGGCGAAAGCCGGAUUAAUACCGCAUACGAUCUACGGAUGAAAGCGGGGGACCUUCGGGCCUCGCGCUAUAGGGUUGGCCGAUGGCUGAUUAGCUAGUUGGUGGGGUAAAGUCCUACCAAGGCGACGAUCAGUAGCUGGUCUGAGAGGACGACCAGCCACACUGGGACUGAGCCACGGCCAAGACUACUACGGGAGGCAGCAGUGGGGAAUUUUGGACAAUGGGCGAAAGCCUGAUCCAGCAAUGCCGCGUGUGUGAAGAAGGCCUUCGGGUUGUAAAGCACUUUUGUCCGGAAAGAAAUCCUUGGCCCUAAUACGGUCGGGGGAUGACGGUACCGGAAGAAUAAGCACCGGCUAACUACGUG
rnacentral:rRNA from 1 species